CCAGCAGCUGCGGUAAUUCCAGCUCCAGUAGCGUAUAUUAAAUUUGCUGCGGUUAAAAAGCUCGUAGUUGGAUUUAUGCACAACCUUCUUCUUCGGAAGAAAUGAUGUGUACAAUUUAUUUACUUUGAGGAAAUUAGAGCGUUUCAGGCAAGCAGAUGCUGUGAAUAUAUUAGCAUGGUAUGAAAAAACGAGUUUUUCAACUGGUAUUGUUGGAAUAUCUUUGUUUAAGAGAAAUAGUUGGGGGCAUUCGUAUUUAUUUGUCAGAGGUGAAAUUCUUGGAUUUUUUAAGGAUGAACAGCUGCGAAAGCAUUUGUCAAGGAUGUUUUCAUUAAUCAAGAACGAAAGU
rnacentral:rRNA from 1 species